GUCUAUGGCCAUAUCACCCUGAACAUGUCCAAUCUUGUCUGAUCUCAGAAGCUAAGCAGGGUUGGGCCUGGUUAGUACUUGGAUGGGAGACUUCCUGAGAAUACUGUGUGCUGUUGGCU
ensembl:rRNA 5S_rRNA 5S ribosomal RNA